rnacentral:rRNA from 1 species
CGCGGCCUAUCAGCUUGUUGGUGAGGUAAUGGCUCACCAAGGCGACGACGGGUAGCCGGCCUGAGAGGGUGACCGGCCACACUGGGACUGAGACACGGCCCAGACUCCUACGGGAGGCAGCAGUGGGGAAUAUUGCACAAUGGGCGAAAGCCUGAUGCAGCGACGCCGCGUGAGGGAUGACGGCCUUCGGGUUGUAAACCUCUUUCAGUAGGGAAGAAGCGAAAGUGACGGUACCUGCAGAAGAAGCGCCGGCUAACUACGUGCCAGCAGCCGCGGUAAUACGUAGGGCGCAAGCGUUAUCCGGAAUUAUUGGGCGUAAAGAGCUCGUAGGCGGUUUGUCGCGUCUGCCGUGAAAGUCCGGGGCUCAACUCCGGAUCUGCGGUGGGUACGGGCAGACUAGAGUGAUAUAGGGGAGACUGGAAUUCCUGGUGUAGCGGUGAAAUGCGCAGAUAUCAGGAGGAACACCGAUGGCGAAGGCAGGUCUCUGGGCAUUAACUGACGCUGAGGAGCGAAAGCAUGGGGAGCGAACAGGAUUAGAUACCCUGGUAGUCCAUGCCGUAAACGUUGGGCACUAGGUGUGGGGGACAUUCCACGUUUUCCGUACCGUAGCUAACGCAUUAAGUGCCCCGCCUGGGGAGUACGG